rnacentral:rRNA from 1 species
UACGGGGGUGGCGAGCGUUGUCCGGAAUCACUGGGCGUAAAGGGCGCGUAGGUGGUCUGAUAAGGGUGUGGUGAAAGCCCGGGGCUCAACCCCGGGUCGGCCGUGCCGACUGUUAGACUAGAGUACUGUAGGGGCAGGCGGAAUUCCGGGUGUAGCGGUGGAAUGCGUAGAGAUCCGGAGGAAGACCGGUGGCGAAGGCGGCCUGCUGGGCAGUUACUGACACUGAGGCGCGACAGCGUGGGGAGCAAACAGG